AUGAUGCACACCAGCGGCAAAGGAGAGUUGUUGCGUGCUAUGGGUGGUGUGAAAGAUUCUGCGACACUCUUAGGAGUACCCCUUGGGCACAACUCAUCUUUCUUGCAGGGGCCUGCAUUUGCGCCUCCUCGCAUAAGGGAGGCCAUAUGCCUUUUCGGCGAUUAUUUUAACCCCUCCUCACCGCCGCCGCCGUCGAGCGCCACCCCGCUUGCACCCUCUGUGCAGCCUGUGAUGCAACUGCCGCACUAUAGCCAGCAGCUACCAGCCAUGGAGACCAUGGGAGAAACUCAGUACUACUACUCCGAAGCCGGUCCAGGGCACGCCGUACUCCCGGACGCGCCACAACCGCCGGCAGCUGAAACCACCAAGCCGGCCGGAGGGAGGCACCGUGGACGGCCUCGUGGCAGCACCGCAAAGUCCAAAUCCAAGUCGAAGGUCGCCAACACCGCCGCUGCAGCUGCGCGCUGGCAGCAGCAGCACGAAGCUGCUACCGCGUCUACCAUCCAAAAGCAAGCACUCCCAGAUCCAUCCGGAUGCCGGACAUGGAGGAGUCCGGGCAGCCCAAGCCCGCCGACCCCUCGGAAUCGGAGCUCUCCUCGGACCCGCCCAAGGGCGCAAGGACGAACGCGGACGACUGGCACCAAGGCCGUCGGCGGGAGAUCCGACUUCACCAACGGGAAUGGGGCCGGAUCUGCCACGCCCGAGCGCUCCAUCCUGGACGACAGGGACGACUACAUCCUUGCAGGUCCGAGCGCUCCAUCUGGUGGGUCCGAGCGCUCCAUACUUGACAGGGACCACGGGGACGACUACAUCCUCGACAUGGACAACUACAUCCUCGACGGGGACGACUACAUUUGCCAGGUCGCCCGCCAGGGUGGCGGCAGACUUCGCCAUGGGCGGCGCAGCCGUGGUGUUGGCCAAGAUGGGGGCGACGCCGGUGGAGCACGUCAAGCUACUGCUGCAGAACCAGGCCGAGAUGCUGCGCUAGGGCGCCCUCACGCGACCCUACCGCGGGAUCACCGACGCCUUCGCCCGCGUCCUCCGCGAGGAGGGCGCCGUCGCGCUCUGGUGCGGGAACCAGGCCAACGUCAUCUGAUAGUUCCCCACCCAGGUCCGCCCCCUCCUCCCUCCCUUCCUUCCUUGACCAUCCACAUUUUCAUCUGA
rnacentral:rRNA from 1 species